rnacentral:rRNA from 1 species
UACGUAGGUGGCAAGCGUUGUCCGGAUUUACUGGGCGUAAAGGGCGUGCAGGCGGUCUGUUAAGUUCAGGGUGAAAGCUCCCGGCUCAACUGGGAGAGGUCCUUGGAUACUGGCAGACUUGAGGAGGGUAGAGGAGAGUGGAAUUCCCGGUGUAGUGGUGAUAUGCGUAGAUAUCGGGAGGAACACCAGUGGCGAAGGCGGCUCUCUAGGCCCUACCUGACGCUGAGACGCGAAAGCGUGGGGAGCGAACCGG